AACGAACGCUGGCGGCAUGCCUAACACAUGCAAGUCGAACGAGACCUUCGGGUCUAGUGGCGCACGGGUGCGUAACGCGUGGGAACCUGCCCUUAGGUUCGGAAUAACUCCCCGAAAGGGGUGCUAAUACCGGAUAAUGUCUUCGGACCAAAGAUUUAUCGCCUUUGGAUGGGCCCGCGUUGGAUUAGCUAGUUGGUAGGGUAAAAGCCUACCAAGGCGACGAUCCAUAGCUGGUCUGAGGGGAUGAUCAGCCACACUGGGACUGAGACACGGCCCAGACUCCUACGGGAUGCAGCAGUGGGGAAUAUUGGACAAUGGGCGAAAGCCUGAUCCAGCAAUGCCGCGUGAGUGAUGAAGGCCUUAGGGUUGUAAAGCUCUUUUACCCGGGAUGAUAAUGACAGUACCGGGAGAAUAAGCUCCGGCUAACUCCGUG
rnacentral:rRNA from 1 species